AGAGCCAGGGCUCUUGUUCCACCCUUGACUCUUCACACAAAGCAGCACCAUCCUCUGCUUUCUUCACACGUGGCAAGCUUUACCCCACUACCCACAGGGGGAU